rnacentral:rRNA from 1 species
GACGAACGCUGGCGGCGUGCUUAACACAUGCAAGUCGAACGAAAAUACCAAGCUUGCUUGGUUGAUUAGUGGCGAACGGGUGAGUAACACGUGAGUAACCUGCCCCUUACUUUCCUGGAUAACUGCUCGAAAGGGUAGCUAAUACGGGAUAUUCUGACCAGCCUGCAUGGGUUGGUUUGGAAAGGUUGUUUUUCUGGUAAGGGAUGGGCUCGCGGCCUAUCAGCUUGUUGGUGGGGUGAUGGCCUACCAAGGCUUUGACGGGUAGCCGGCCUGAGAGGGUGGACGGUCACACUGGGACUGGGAUACGGCCCAGGCUCCUACGGGAGGCAGCAGUGGGGAAUAUUGCACAAUGGGGGCAAGCCUGAUGCAGCGACGCCGCGUGAGGGAUGAAGGCCUUCGGGUUGUAAACCUCUUUCGUCAGGGAACAAGGCACUGCUUUUUUGGUGGUGUUGAGGGUACCUGGAUAAGAAGCGCCGGCUAACUACGUG